UCCGGUUGAUCCUGGCGGAGGCCACUGCUAUCGGAGUUCGAUUAAGCCAUGCGAGUCGAGAGGUGUAAGACCUCGGCAUACUGCUCAGUAACACGUGGACAACCUACCCUGAAGAGGGGGAUAACCCCGGGAAACUGGGGAUAAUACCCCAUAGACUAUGGAUGCUGGAAUGCUUUGUAGUUGAAAGGUCCGCCGCUUCAGGAUGGGUCUGCGGCCGAUUAGGUUGUUGUUGGGGUAACGGCCCAACAAGCCUGUAAUCGGUACGGGUUGUGGGAGCAAGAGCCCGGAGAUGGAUUCUGAGACACGAAUCCAGGCCCUACGGGGCGCAGCAGGCGCGAAAACUUUACAAUGCGAGAAAUCGUGAUAAGGGAACUCCGAGUGCCCGUAAAAUCGGGCUGUCCGCCAGUGUAAAUAACUGGUGAAGAAAGGGCCGGGCAAGACCGGUGCCAGCCGCCGCGGUAAUACCGGCGGCUCGAGUGGUGGCCACUAUUACUGGGCUUAAAGCGUUCGUAGCUGGUCUGUUAAGUCUCUGGGGAAAUCUUCCGGCUUAACCGGAAGGCGCCUCAGGGAUACUGGCAGACUAGGGACCGGAAGAGGUGAGAGGUACUCCAGGGGUAGGAGUGAAAUCCUGUAAUCCUUGGGGGACCACCUGUGGCGAAGGCGUCUCACCAGGACGGCUCCGACAGUGAGGAACGAAAGCUGGGGGAGCAAACCGGAUUAGAUACCCGGGUAGUCCCAGCUGUAAACGAUGCGCGUUAGGUGUAUCGGUGACCACGAGUCACCGAGGUGCCGAAGAGAAAUCGUGAAACGCGCCGCCUGGGAAGUACGGUCGCAAGGCUGAAACUUAAAGGAAUUGGCGGGGGAGCACCACAACGGGUGGAGCCUGCGGUUUAAUCGGACUCAACGCCGGGAAACUCACCGGACAAGACAGCUGAAUGAUAGUCGGGCUGAAGACUCUACUUGACUAGCUGAGAGGAGGUGCAUGGCCGUCGUCAGUUCGUACUGUGAAGCAUCCUGUUAAGUCAGGCAACGAGCGAGACCCA
rnacentral:rRNA from 1 species